UAGGGAAUUUUCGUCAAUGGGCGCAAGCCUGAACGAGCGAUGCCGCGUGAGUGAAGAAGGCCUUGGUCGUAAAGCUCUGUUGCGGGGGAAAAAAGGGACAGCAUCAGGAAAU
rnacentral:rRNA from 1 species